rnacentral:rRNA from 2 species
UACAUGAAGCUGGAAUCGCUAGUAAUCGCGGAUCAGCAUGCCGCGGUGAAUACGUUCCCGGGCCUUGUACACACCGCCCGUCACACCACGAGAGUUUGUAACACCCGAAGUCGGUGGGGUAACCUUUUUGGAGCCAGCCGCCUAAGGUGGGACAGAUGAUUGGGGUGAAGUCGUAACAAGGUAGCCGUAUCGGAAGGUGCGGCUGGAUCACCUCCUUUCUAUGGAGA